GCAGUUCCGUCCACAGAUACAGCCCUUCCAUUUGAUACGAAUGCAUACUUAGUAUAGAUCUGAUGCUUGCGAGUACUUCGGAUGAGUACUCACGGUUGCUUUGCUCCCCCUUUCCCCCUUCUUUCUUCUUUCUGGUUGUUGCAACCAGAUGGUGGAUCCCAGGAGCCAGAUGAUGCCACCCCCGGUGACUACUACUACAUGGAGGCCGCCGAAGACCAGGAGUAGUUAGGAGGUCCCAGGCAGGAGGCCUUGCCUCUUCGAUCGUGUUGAUUUCGUGCUAGCCUUUUUAACGCAUCCUUGUUUAACUUAUGUCUGUACUCAAAUAUUGUUGCUUCCGCUGACUCUUGUGUAUCGAGCUUUUGUAUUCGAGCCCUCGAGGCCCUUGGCUUGUAAUACAAACCUUGUAUCACUUUUAUUUGUGUUUAGAGUUGUGUUGUGAUAUCUUCCCGUGAGUCCCUGAUCUUGAUUAGUGUACGAUUGAAUCGGGGGCGUCACAGCCGUGUCCCCGGUUAUGGACAUCUUGAGUAUCUGGUUCUUGGAUUAUCAUGUUGAUCUCAUCACGUUACUUAAAUAAUUUGUUGGGUUGAUGAUUAUUAAUUUGGGAUUGAGUUGGAGGAACCUUCUCAAUGUUUUUAACAAUCUUUGUAGUUAAAUAAAAUAUAUUCCUUUGUUGUAGGGAAAAACUAGCUUUAUGCAAAAAUAAACUUAGAGCUUUCCACCAGCCAAAUAUGCAUGUAGUGAUAGCUUUUAUUCAUCAUUCACUACUGGAAUCAGCUACUUUGCCAUCUGCCAGCUCUUUGCGUCAGCUAGCAGACGGCAAAGAAGCUCUUUACCAUUAGCUACCCGAAAGCAGAAGGCAAAGAAAGCCUUUGCCAUCAGCAUGUUCUUUGCCAUCCGCUAGCAGACGGCAAAGAAUCUUUGCCGUCCGCUAGCAGACGGCAAACAGGGAGGGGGGCCCCACUGAGGAGCUGGUUAAAAAAUACUUAACGGCACCCCUCUUUGCCGUCCGCAAGAGCACAUUAGCGGACGGCAAAGGUGGCGGGCGACAAAGAUUAAACAUAUCUAACGGCGCGCCCCCACCCCGCCCCUCUCUCUUUGUUUCUCUCCCCUGCUCCCACACACGCGCCGCCGCCCCCACCACCCGCCGCCGCCCGGUCGCACCACCGCCCCGCCNNNNNNNNNNNNNNNNNNNNNNNNNNNNNNNNNNNNNNNNNNNNNNNNNNNNNNNNNNNNNNNNNNNNNNNNNNNNNNNNNNNNNNNNNNNNNNNNNNNNNNNNNNNNNNNNNNNNNNNNNNNNNNNNNNNNNNNNNNNNNNNNNNNNNNNNNNNNNNNNNNNNNNNNNNNNNNNNNNNNNNNNNNNNNNNNNNNNNNNNNNNNNNNNNNNNNNNNNNNNNNNNNNNNNNNNNNNNNNNNNNNNNNNNNNNNNNNNNNNNNNNNNNNNNNNNNNNNNNNNNNNNNNNNNNNNNNNNNNNNNNNNNNNNNNNNNNNNNNNNNNNNNNNNNNNNNNNNNNNNNNNNNNNNNNNNNNNNNNNNNNNNNNNNNNNNNNNNNNNNNNNNNNNNNNNNNNNNNNNNNNNNNNNNNNNNNNNNNNNNNNNNNNNNNNNNNNNNNNNNNNNNNNNNNNNNNNNNNNNNNNNNNNNNNNNNNNNNNNNNNNNNNNNNNNNNNNCGCCUCCCUACCGUCUCGGCGCCGCCGUGCCCCGGCCCCCUGGCGCCCCGGCUCCCCCCGCGCCCCACUGCCACUGCCCUGGUGCUCUCGGCGUGGCCUGGUCAACGUGGUCAAUGAACGACAUCCAUCGGAAGUGGACUGUACGUGGAGAGGCUGACAGCUGGGUCCACGGCCGCACGCAAGGAAAUGCCUCCUUAUUACGCGCAAAAUAAUGAUUCCUCCACCUGACAGCUAGGACCCACAGGAAGGGCCUCUGUAUUUUGCGAAAAAACAUUCCCCCCGCUGACAAGUCGGACCCACCAGCUAUAUCUUCGCACGCAAGGAAGUGCCUCCUUAUUACGCCCAAAAAAAUGAAUACCCCCUGCUAGCUGGGACCCACCAUAUUGUUGGGCUGACUUGUGGGCCUACUAAGUUGAAGGGGACGGAGGGCUUUGUCAACUUAGUCAAUACUCUAGUGACCGUAUGAUGUCCAUCCAAUGGGCAUAGUGCUUCCUCAACCUCUGGUCUUCUUGCUCCAGCCGUCCAAAGCAGCUCCGGUCGUGCCGCCUGCUCCUGCCUAUCGUGGCCGGCUGUGCUACCGCCUGCUCCGGCCUCCUGUCGCCCGGCUCCGCGUCGUCCCCUUCCUAGGCCUCGCCGUCGUCCACCGCCGUGGUGCUCUCGGCACGGCGUGGUCAAUGUAGUCAACGACCGACUUCCAUCGAAAGAGUACUGUAUGUGGAGAGGCUAACAGCUGGGUCCACGGCAGCCGCAAGGAAGUGCCUCCUUAUUACGCGGAAAAUAAUUAUUCCUCCACCUGACAGCGGGGACCUACCGGACGGGCCACGAGUAUUUUGCGAAAAAAAUCGUUUCCCCUGACUGCUGGGACCCACCGGAUGGGCCACCGUAUUUCGCGAAAAAACAUUCCUCCCGCUGUCAGCUCAGACCCACUGGAAGUGCCUCCUUAUUACGCACAAAAAAAUGAAUACUCCCCCGGCUAGCUGGGACCCACUUGUGGGCCUACUAAGUUGACGGGGACGAAAGGCUUUCUCAACUUAGUCAAUAUGAACGAUUCUAGCUCCACUGACCGUACGAUGUCCAUCCAACGGCCGUAGUGCUUCUUCAACCUCUGGUCUUCUUGUUCCAGCCGCCCAAAGCAGCGCCGGUCAUGCCGCAUGCUCCUGCUUCCCGUGGCUGGCUGUGCUGCCGUGGACACCUCACCGCCCCCUACUAUUCCCACCGCUAGCCAGGCCCUGCGGCGACGGCAGCCUCACACCACAGUCGAACCAGUGAACCCUCAUACUCCUCUCUUCACGGGCUUCCACUGCCGCGUCUUCCCCGGCUCCGCGUCGUCCCCUUCCUAGGCCUCGUCGUCUUUCACCACCAUGGUGCUCUCCGUGCGGCAUGGUCAACGUGGUCAAGGAACGACUUCCAUCGGAAGAGUACUGUACGUGGAGAGGCUCACAGCUGGGUCCACGGCCACAACCCAGUUUUUUUGUGAUUUGCCAAGUAAGUCGCUUUGUCAGGCCUGUUGGGCUGCAAAUCUUUCAAGACGAGGAGAGCUUUCAUUCGGCUGGCCGAGAAAAUGGCCCAUCAGUAAUGAGAAAUGGCUGUAGAUUUUUAAAACACAUCAAACCGGCAAUUAGUUUCAAAUAUUUUUCUUCAUUUCAAGAUUUUAAAUUACAUUAAUUUUUAUGCGUGGAGAAUUUGUUGGAUUUUAUAUUGAUAUACAUUUAUUUUUAAAAUCAGUUUGAAUGUGAGUCGAAAUUUUGGGAUUAAAAACAGUUCGGACCGCACCGAAAUAUGCAAAAUUUCGUAUAAUUUUUUAACCGUGGCCACAAUAUGGGCUGUAAUGCUAACAAAAAGAAUAUGGGCUCCAAAAAAACCUUAAGAAUUAGCAAAUGGGCUGUAAAUUAAUAGAAAUAAUGGCAGAUGGGCUGUAUGCUGUUUUCCACAGAUUUGAGGAUUUCCCAAAAAAAGGUUGACACACAAGCAGUGACGGUUGGAUGUCCAUCAAACGGCCGUCGUGCUUCUUCAAUCUCUGCUCUUCCUGCUCCAGCCGCUCAAACAAGCACCGGCGGGACUGCCUGCUCCCUCCUUCCCACAGCCGGCUGUGCUGCCGCGCAGGCCUCACCGCCCCACCAUACUCCCAUCGCUGGCCUAGCCAUCCCUCUACUCACCCACACCUGCUGUUAUUCUCCGGCGACGGCAGACGAACCAGUAAACCCUCGUACAGUCGUACUCCCCUCCGUGUGGGAAACAACUGCCGAGUCUUCCCUGCCUCCGUGUCGUCCCCUUCCUAGGCCUUGCCAUCGGCCACCGUCGUGGUGCUCUCGGCGCGGCUUGGUCAAUGUGGUCAACGACCGACUUCCAUCGGAAGAGUACUUUGUGUGGAGAGGCUGUCAGCUGGGUCCACAGCCGCAGCAAGGAAGUGCCUCCUUAUUACAUGCAAAAUAAUUAUUCCUCCACUUGACAGCGGGGACCCAGCGGACGGGCCACCGUAUUUUGUGAAAAAAACGUUUCCUCCCUGACCGCUGGGACCCACCAGCUACACCUUCGCACGCAAGGAAGUGCGUAAGGGCAAAAAAAAGCGAUUCGCCCCCCUGACUGCUGGGACCCACCAGCUACAUCUUCACACGCAAGAAAGUGUGUCGGGGCAAAAAAAUGAUUCGCCCCCUGACUGCUGGGACCCACCAGCUACAUCUUCGCAGGCAAGGAAGUGCCUGACAGUCGGGACCCACCUGGUCGAAGCGUAUGUAGCGUUGUAAUUCUGGUCGCGAACGUGUACGUACAUACUGGUCGAUGUAGAGGCGUGCACGUGUCAUAGUAGAGGCGCACACGUAGCAUGUACAUGUACGUACAGCGGCGAGGGUGCAAGAAAGAAAAUACGGCCACAUACUUACAUAUGGGCAGGGUCUCGAACGCCUACUCGCGCAUACGUACAUGGCUGGGUCAGAACAGAGAAAUAGCAUCAUCGUCGUGUUCAUGGGAGGCAACGGAAUGCGUCGUGUUCAUGGGGAGGCAACGGAAUGCGUCGUGUUCAUCGGGAGGCAACGGAACGCGUGGGAGCCAACUGGCUUGGACGGAACAGGCGAUGGAAACGAGGCAUGGCGUACCGCACAACGAAGGAAACAGACCUCCUACGUUCGGAACGGGGUCCUGUCGAUCGGGAGUGGUGUGGCGUACCGCAAAACGGAGGAAACAGACCUCCUACAGUCGAAACGGGGGUCCUGUUCAUCGGGAGGGGUGUGGCGUACCGCAAAAUGGAGGAAACGUACCUCCUACGGUCGAAAUGGGGGUCCUGUUCAUCGGGAGGGGUGUGGCAUACCGCAAAACGGACGAAACGGACCUCCUACGGUCGAAACGGGGGUCCUGUUCAUCGGGAGGGGUGUGGCGUACCGCAAAACGGGACUCCACUGGAUACUGUUCAUCUCCAUCGUCGACCUCCUCCAGCCUCCACGGGCUACUGUCGACCUCCUCUAGCCUCCACGGGCUCCUGUUAAUCCAGCCUCCACCGCGCGCUACUCCACCGGCUACUGUUUAACCACCCCUCCACGAGCACCCCUCCACCGUCUACUGUUCAUCCAGCCCUCCACACCACGAGGUCUUGUUCAACCACCCCUCCACCGUCUACUGUUCAUCCAGCCCUCCACACCAUGGGGUCCUAUUCAUCCAGAGGCAACGCCACCGCUCAAUGUUCAUCCACCCCCCUGCAAUGCUCACUGUUCAUCCCAGAGGCAGCAUCGAUCGACUUCAGUUAGCAGCACUAGUGAAGGAAUCGCUUCAUCGGGUUCAGUUAACAGCCAUCAAUCGAUCGCUCGGGCUUAGUAACGCGUAGCCUGUAGUGCAAUCGCUCGGGUUCAGUUAGAGCCCAAUGCCUCGCUCGGGUUCAGUUAGAGCCAACGCCUCGCACACACGCGCGUACGUACGAGAGAAACGCGCAUCGCUCGGCCCCCGACCUCCCACCGUAACCGGCAACUCCCUGAAAUUUUCCUCCCCCUCGCUUCUACCACGGUUUUUUCCGUCAUGGACGGCCCAAAGAAUGUCAUGCAGCUGCGUCUCCGGCCCACCCAGGACGAGAAGGCCAUUUUCUGUCAUGAUUUUUUGUCGUAGAAGUAGGAGCCCACCACAUCUAUGAUGAUACCGGGUUUUGUCACAAUUAUCGUCAUAGAAGUGUCAUAUGUAUGACAGAAAAAAAUUUCAUUCAGCCCAAAAUGUCACGGAUGUGUCUUUUUUUAUAGUGAGGAUGAAUGGAGAUGAGCUCAUAUUAUCUGGACCAAUGAGUCAAUUGGAGACGGACCGAUGGAUUCAGAACAUGGAGGAUCACAUGAAGAAUAACACUAUAGCCGAAAAGGAUAUGUCCCAUUAUGCUCUUCAGUGCUUUGAGAGAGGUGUCACUACUUGGUGGAGGAUGUACCAAACCAUCAAUGGAUGGCCAAGAGUAAACCAAUUGGGAAGAAUUUAAGUUGACUAUGCUAAAGACUCGGCUUGUGUCCCAGAAAUUGAAAGCCUUAUGUAAAUGAUAUGAAGAAACCUUGUGCAUGCAAGCUCUGUGGAGAAAUAGGACACGACCAUAAAUAACACAAGGAUGAAUGCCCACUUUGCGAAGAAAGUCACCUAGCUAAAGAAUGCCCAACUAGGCAGAUUACUUGUUUCUUGUGUGAAGGGACUACCCACUACCCUGCUCAGUGUCACAUUUACCCCAUGGUACAAAGAACCAUCCAGCUGAAGAAAGAAGCAAUAAGGAGCCCUCAUGGAAAUUUUAGGAGAACCUGUGAUGAAGGAAGAGGUGGAGGACACACCUGAAGAAGACCCAAUUAAACCCUGCACCAAGUCAUGCUAUUCAUGUGGAGAAGAAGGACACAUCUCCCAAAAUUGUCUGAAUGGGGAUCUAGUAGAAUUCCUGGUAGAGGAAGUAGAGUAUGACUCACACGAAAUAGAAGCCCUGAUUGGAACGGAAAAGUCUAGGAAGAGAAGUAGAUUGGAUUCUAGGAAGGACAUUAGCCAUAUCACAUGUUUUAGGUGCAAGGAGUCAGGGCACUACUUCAGCAGUUGCCGAAAAAGGAAGUCGGGGACCCAAGGAGGAUAUGUAAUCAUGAGGAAACCUCGAGACUUGUCAGAAGUAAUAUAUUUCUUCUGUAAUGAAGCAGGGCACUCUGCAAGAGAUUGUCCCAAGGAGAGGGAGACUUGUGCUAAAUAGUUGAGUUAGCAACAAAAGAAAUGUAGUAGUAUUAGUGGGAACAAUUCUUUUAUAUUGAGAUGUUAAGUUGAGGCAUGUAAUGGAAAUGCAGGAGAUUGUAAUAAUUUGAGAAUCAAUGAAGUUAGCGGUGAUUUGGAUUGUAUGAGUUGUUACCCUAUGAAGAAAGAUUUUGACCAUUUUCGAGGAUAUGAGAAAUAUGGUCUAUGGAUGAGUUUGUGCAUUUCAAGGGUGGUAGUACCCUGUAAGGAGAAUUGAACCCUGGAAAAGAAAAUGAUAUUCCAUGGUGUGAACUUCAGACAAAAUAAGUACGAGUUUUAUCUCGAUAUGUGGGACACCCCAAGAAUAUGAAGGGAUGAAGUACUAUUUGGAUAUAAAGGAGGUGUAAUGUUGGUAAUAUGGUGCAAUUGUAACUCCAUGAUGAGUCUGAGUAGUCACAUCUUAGUUUGGUACCAAUAGAAGGUAGGGAGACAGUACAAUUGGAUGGAUUUAAGAAUGCUAAGAAGUUGGAUGUUUGAAUAAUGAUCAGUUGUCCUGAGGAUGAGUUCAAGGUUUACAAGUGAUGAGAUGGGUCAUAACCCACAGGCCCCAGGACCUGCUAAGAAGCAAGCACACUCUUGCUGAAGGAAAAACCCUGGAAGAGGAUAUGACUUUGUCAAACAGACGACCCUAUAGGAGUAUCGUAAAACCUGAGAGUUGUGAAGGAACGAUAGAUGUUUGUUUUGCUUGCAGAAUCAAUGGAUUUAUCCGAACUUAGUCCGUCGACAAGAGAAAUUCUGCAAUGCUUGUGAGGAUGACCGAGUGAUAGAAUGCGAGAUUCGCUAAACCAUAUACAAGGUAAUGAUUUGGGUGCGGGAUGGAUUGAUCACCAUACCGACUUACUCUUAUUAUUCGUCUUGCUAUAUGGGAUGGUAAAUCUGAGUGACUUAUCGAUAGUAGAGAGACAGCGAUAUUAAACCUUGUUUGAACCUUAGAAUGUAUGACAAUUAUUCCCCUUGUACAAGGCAACUGUUGCCAAUCAUAGGAUAUACGGUGAGAAUGAAGCCCAAACCCAUUUCCUGCAGGAGAAACCAUAAAUUGUUUGAUGUCCAUCAUGAGAUAUCGAUAGUUGUUUAGUAUUGGUGCUAGACCUGUCAGCUAAGAAGACCCAGUCACAGGAGGACCGUACCAAGAUAAAAGGACACAAGAAUUGAGGAAAAAUGUUAUGCCCCACCGGAAAUGGCUAGAGAAGGAAUUAUCCUGAAGAUCUGAGAAGAUCGACACUGUCAACAAUAAGGAUGGAGUGUAUAAAUUUUGAUGGAACCGUAAUAAUGCUUCUAAGGGUGGUAGCACCCCAGACCCCCUGUGAUGAUCGAUGGAUUUUGAGAAGACCCCGACCCUAACCUAUUUCUUUCUAGCCUCUCCGAAUCUCAAGGACGAGAUUCAUUUUAACGGUGGUAGGUUUGUAACAUCCCAAAAUUCUAAAUUUUGGAAUGUUAUAUUAAAUAGAUAGUUUUGAUUGAUUGUAUGAUUACUUGUGUGAAAUUGAGUGAAUUUUGAAACUUUUUGAAAGUUAAAUGAGAGAGAAUAAAAGGAAUUUCCCAAACUUUCAUUUUUGCAUUUAUGAUCUCCAUGAACUCAAAUUCUUUCCAAAUACAAAACCCUACAGAGAAGAUGAAAUGACUUCUUCCAUUUAAAUAAAUGAAAAGGGUUUUUGGAAAUAUUUGAAUUUCAUUUGGAAAUAUUUCAAACUCAGAAACUUUAUGCAACUCAAUGAUUUUCAUGAGAUAAGAUAAAAUGACUUCUUCAAAACAUAUGAAAUAUGAGUUGAAAGUUUAAAAGAAUCAAAUUGAAAGUCUCUUUGAAAUUAUUUUCAAUUUGGAGUUAUUUAGUUUUUAUUCAAAUUAUUUUUUUACACAAAUAAAAUAUAUGGAAAUUAGGGUAAAAUGAUUCCCUACAUUAGAAAAAUGGAGAUAAAUAAAUUAGAAAUUACUUUAGUAUUUUUAAAAUGAUUUUUAUGAGGUUUUAUUGCAACAGUCGCACUGUUUGCUUUAUUUGAAUUUGUACUGAUUUUAUUUGACGCUAUAAAAAUAUUCAAGUUGUAGAAAAUCAUUUUCUGAAAAUUAUGAUGUAUAAUAUGCCUAUGUAUAAUUAUUUUUAUUUUCUGUUGUACAGUUUUCCUUUUUUGUUUCUAUUUAAAAAAACUGCGCGUACGACAAAUAUCUAACUAUCGCCCACAUGCGGAGCAUAGUACCAGCAGGGCGCCCUAUCAUUUUAUUUUCUCCUACAUGGGCUAGGCUCAGCUGGCCAUAUUUCUUCCCCAUAUUUUUUUCUCCAUAGUUUUUCUUUUUCUUUUCAAUUGCAAAAAAGAAAAAAAACUGCAGCGCCGUGUACAUGCGCGCGUGGCCGGCCGUGGUGAUUUUUAGCCCACGCGGUUUCCCGUUUAUUUUAUUUGUUCGUUUAUGUUUAGUUCCACAUUGCCUAGCCUUUGACCUCUAAGCCUCUUUUCCACUUAUAAAUAUAGAACCAUAAAGCCACCAAAAAUCAUCCGAUUUGGGUUAAAUCAAUAUAUUUUGAUUUGACUAGAUUUAUUAAAAAAAUAUUUUUCUCCUCUCCGGCGGGACUUCUGGAAGUUGUCUCCUCUCUCAUAAGUCGUCUUUUCUCUACCUUAUAAAGGUAUCUUUCUUCAUAGUUUUUUACUUUCAUAGUUUAUUGUGUAAAUAUUUUUCUUCCGUAAAACAGCAUGGUCCUGAUUUUUUAAAUAGCUAUAACUUUUUACUCGUUCGUUUAAAUUAGACGAAAUCAACGCCAAUAUUUUCGUCUUGAUUCCACUUAUCUAAUGAAUCUAUCAAAUAAACCUUUUGCAACUUUCAAAUUUCGAAAUUUGUUGAGAUUCAUACUCAAAUUUCUUUUGAUCAUAUCUUUUUAUCCGUAACUUCAUUUUAGUUGAUUCUUUUUGCAAAUCGAAGCUCUUGACCUAAACUUUCUGAUAAGGCCAAAUCACCUAAUUUUGGUACUGUUAGAAAUUGUUUCUGUUGCAAGAGUUAAUUGUAUCUUUCCGAAGCUUUUUGAGAUCUUUUCUUUGAUUCUUUUGCAUGAGUGCUUAUGUAUGCAAUUGCUUGUUUACUAUAGAUUGAUCGGAGUGUGACGAGUAGAUCUAUCAUGAGUUAUGAGUGCGAAUCAUCUUCAUCAACAGUACAAGGCAAGUUCACACGUUGAUCAUAUCCCUUUCAUACCCAAUUUUUAUGCAUUAGUUUCAACCUCAAACAUUGCAUGGUUAGGAAUUGGUAACAUGUGGGUAGUGGGAAGUAGUUGAUGAGGUAGGAACCUAUUGUCCUGCAUUCAAACCUUGGGAGUUCCUCUACCUUAUGCUUAUACUAUUAUGCUAUGCUCGUAGACGUGGUUUGAUUUGAGUGAUUCAUGACAUAUGUGAGAGUUAUUAUUAAUGGUUAACUUAAAGUGGCUACUUUAAUACACAUCUGGGUGGAAUGGUAGGGGCACCCUGGAGUACCCAGUGGUUUGCCCGGGCACCUGGAGAACCCAGUAUUUGCCCGAGGGAAUCUCGGAGGACCCAUGUGAUUACCCUAUGGAAUGCCACCCAGGCUCAAAGGGAUCAUAAGAUUAUUCAUGCUAGAAACUUCCGUGUGCAGCCACAAGCCAUUAUGGGCUCUGACAUAGUUGAGUAUGUUGCGUGAGCUCUUGAAGAGGUAGACUAGGAGAUGUAGGGGGUGUAGGUGGUACUGUCUACCCAGAGUAAAGAGUUAAUGCUUCUGAAAGACUGCGUCUCGACCAUCCGUUUCUCAAACACCAUGUAGUACGAGAAAUCCAACGGAGGCGAUCGAGUCUUGUGGGGAAAGUGCGCAAACCUCUGCAGCGUGUACAAACUAAUCAUGGUUAGCCUUUGUAACACCGGGAAAAUUAUGCUACAGUAAACCUCUGUUAAUGGUGCCAUGUCAUCAUGUUACUGUUGCUAAGGUUCGCUUGAUCCAAAUCACAAUUCAAAUUCAAAUUCAAAUUAAAGUCCAAAAAUCAAAUUUCUCAAACAUGCAAACUAAAAUGUUCAAAGUGUGGCAAAUAUUCCAUAACCAAUUAUGGUGCUGACCCAACAUUUUUUGUAAAAGUAUUUAAGUGCUCUUUGGUGAAUAAAACAGUGACAAAAACAAUUAUUAAAUGCCUUUAAAUAAUAAACAAAUAUAAAACUAUUUUAUUAUUGUGUCAAAUUAAUUAUGGCAGUAGCCUAAGUGGUAAUACUAAUUUUGGGGCUAGGUUUAUAUUUUAAAACUAAAAAUAGAUACAUGAAAGGAAACUUAAAUGAAAACAAAAAUAAAUAAUUAAAAGGAGAAGCCCCCCCCCCCCACUGUUCCCCCUGGGCCUUGGCCCAACUGGCGAUUGGCCAGCCCACCACCGCCGUUUCCGUCACUGAACCUUAAGUGUGUUUAACGCGGAGGUGCUGUCCGUUCAGCACUUGGUCAUCGGUGAUUUGUAUCACGGCGAGUACGACUCCAUCAUCACCGUUCCCUUGAACGCUUCCGCACGCGAUCUACAAGUGAUAUGUAGAUGCAAUCUCUCUCCCAUGACUCGUUGCUUAGAUGAACUCAUAGAUGGAUCUUGGUGAAACCGUAGGAAAUUUUUUAUUUUCUGCAACAUUCCCCAACAGGGGGCUCGUGGCUAGCACUGAUGGCCGCCACGGCCAUGGCACACGCCGUGGCGCCCAUCCAUCGGCGCCUCCCCCUACUUAAGUCGACGCCUCUUCCCCAGACCGAACCCUAAUGAGCCUCUCUCCACACUCACCCUCCCCGCGCCUCUCCUCUCCCCUCCUCAGAUCCGCCGCGAUGCGCUCGCCCGAGCGGGCUCGUCGUCAUUGCCUUGGCGUGCGCAUGGCCACCGUCCAUCGUUGGUCGUUCUGCGAUGUCUAGAAGCACGCAGCCUUCGUCUUCAUCUUCCUCGCCAUCGGAUCGAAGCCCAGGAGCACCGCCAACGCCGUCUUCUUCUUCCCCUUCGUACGCUUCGGUCGCUGGCCCUCUCCGUCGACUCUGACCGCCCUAUGCGCUUCCAAGCCCUCAACAGGCCUCCAUGUGCCUCCACGGUGAGCGCACCGUCCAGCCCCUCUCCCCUCUUACCUCCUCGUAAGCCAUAGCCCACCUUGCCGUUGUUGCUGGCCCUGGCCACAGUCGCCACGGCCGCGUCCGUCGAUGCGUUCCCCAACACCCCCCUGCUACGCUCGGGCCGCAUCAUGGCAGCUCCAGCCGCCCGCCCGCGCCGCUUCCCGGCUGCGCCCUGCUCGACCUGCUGCCACUGCCGGCCCCUAACGCUUGCAGCUGGCGCUGGGCGUCGUCAUCGUGGACGCCCUCGACGUCGCCACUGUAGCCAUAAUCCCCGUAGCUCGCGUACGAACCCCACAGCAAAGUCCUCAUGCUCCUAGGAGUCGAAUGCAGGCACACACGUGCCUCCCCAAGCCCCAUGGCCACGGAUCCGUUGGCGCCAACGCCGCCAUCGUGGAUGUCCUGCUCGACUCCGGCCGCCUCCGCUCGUUCCGGCGGGCUACCCGGUCCCGCUCACUACUGCUGGUGCUGCCCGCCUCCGCCGGCGGCCCGCGCUGCUUCCCCCCGACUAGUUGUUGCCGUUGCUGCGUUCCAUUGCAGCCGUCGCACAACUGCUCGCUGAUGGCAGCCUCGCCUGCCCUACUCACCCCCUUGCCGCUCCUCCUGCUGAAGGCAUCACCACGCCCCUGCUUUGCCUUGCGGCAACCUGUGCCCGCUGCUGUUGCCGCCUGCUACCACGGCUCUACGGAUGCAUCCUACUGCUGGUCGCUGACGCCGAUGCUAGCUAUUGUCGCUGCUAUUUUUCUGCUACUUGAUGUUGCCUGUAGUUGCCUUGCUGCUGCGAAUUACUGUAGCUACGUCUAGCUUUAUGAAUUUUAUAUUGACUAACCCCUUGACUGCCCCUAAACUGUGGUUAAACAAGUGUUAACAGGGGUAAAAAAAUUAUAGGAAGGUAGUACACUUGACAAUGCUCAAACGUGUCCAUUGGACCAAAUCCAUUUGCUGCAUAUAUUAAUUCUUACAAAAAUCAAAAAUUGAUAUCUUCUGCUAACAGAGAACAAUUUUAACCUCUCCUUGUGCUGUGUGUGGUGUGUGUGUGUGGCCGGCUUGGCCACGGCCCACUUCCGUGCGUGGCUGGCCCUUGUGUUAAUUAGGACUAAUUUAGUUUAGGAGUAUUUUAGUAUUAGUUUAGUCUUUAGAGCAAAUGACAUGUGGCCCCAUUUGACCCUGUUGACCAGUUAAUAGUUGAUUGGUCAAUUGCUGACUGGACACCCCUGGACCCCACCAGUCAGCCUCUGUCGCUAGCACAUGGCUGGGUACACUUGGUAUUUUCUGUUUAUUUGCAAAUUAAAAUAAAUGCCUAAAUCAUUUAAAACUUUGAUAAAAUCAUAGAAAAUAAACUGUAGCUCGGAUGAAAAGGUUUUCUACAUGAAAGUUGCUCAGAAUUUUGAGACGAAUCUGGAUACGCCCUCCGUUCGUCUGUCACACGACCCUAGCAUAGCAAACGUUGAACUUUUCCCUCCGGUUCAUCUGUUUGACAGACGACCGGAACUGGGAAAACUUUCCCGGAUGUCUCCCCCUUCGCCAGUAUCGCCUAGCGCUGCGUUAGAACACCUCUAGCUUCGCUUUUUUUGUCAUGUUAUGCAUAUGUUUGCAUGUAUUUAAUGUUUCUUCCCCCUCUUCUCUCCGAUAGACCCUGAAACUGCUGCUGAUGCCACCGUGAUCGACUACGUCGAUGACGACCCUCCUUGUCUGAGCAACCAGGAAAGCCCCCCCUUUGAUCAUCCCGAUAUCGCCCAUUCCAUUCUCUCAUGCUUGCAUUAGAUUUUGCUACUAUAUUUGAUUGCUCCUAUUCUGAUGCAUAGCCUGCUUUUGUACCUGCUAAUAAUACACUAUGGUUUGGGUAUUUGUUCCGAGUUGGCCUUUGGCCUUUACGCACCAACCACCACGUGAGAAUAGUUAUGGGCCUCGACGUCGUGGUAUCAGCCGAAGCUUUGUCAGCCGUCCAGUUCAGCAUUGCUGCACGGCCUGGUCGGCGCCCUAGUGGAGGUGGCCCGGAUCGCCCUGCGCGCAACGAUCCGGAGUGCAACGAGCGAUGGGCGCAGACCCCAGAGUGCUUAGGAUGUAGACCGGCGGGGACCUCUCUGCUGAGCCUAGGUAGGGCUGUGACGUGUUGAUCUUCCGAGGCUGGACAUUGACCCAGAAAAGUGUGUCCGUCCAAAGUGAUCGAGCGGGUUGGAAAACGUGGUGCACCCCUGCAGGGAAGAUUAUCUAUUAAUAGCUAUGUCCACGGUAAUGGACGUUCAGACUUAUAUCUUGAUCUUAUACAACUACAAAUGGAUACUUGAGAUAUGUGGCUCCGGGAUUGCUUUCUCGCAGGGAGUCAAGGAAGGAUCUCUGGGCAUUAAUGUUACAACAUGUUUGUUAAUUAUAAACGGCUAUUAUUUACUCUUCUACAUGCUGCAAGAUGCUUAGAGCUUCUUGAAGAUGCUAGUCUUCGAUAGGCUAGGCCUUCCCCUCUAUUCUAGCAUUUUGCAGUUCCGUCCACAGAUACAGCCCUUCCAUUUGAUACGAAUGCAUACUUAGUAUAGAUCUGAUGCUUGCGAGUACUUCAGAUGAGUACUCACGGUUGCUUUGCUCCUCCUUUCCCCCUUCUUUCUUCUUUCUGGUUGUUGCAACUAGAUGGUGGAUCCCAGGAGCCAAAUGAUGCCACCCCCGGCGACUACUACUACAUGGAGGCCGCCGAAGACCAGGAGUAGUUAGGAGGUCCCAGGCAGGAGGCCUUGCCUCUUCGAUCGUGUUGAUUUCGUGCUAGCCUUUUUAAGGCAUCCUUGUU
rnacentral:lncRNA from 1 species